rnacentral:sRNA from 1 species
UACCGCGGCCCUUCCUGGGCGUUUCCUCCCUGAACUUGGCCGCUCCUUUGGGAGCGGCCUUUUUUCUUUCCAGG